rnacentral:tRNA from 2 species
AAGAUACUAGUAAAACUGUCCAUUACACUUCUUUGUCAAAGCAGCAUUGCGGGUUAAACCCCCGCGUAUCUUA